rnacentral:rRNA from 1 species
AACGAACGCUGGCGGCAGGCCUAACACAUGCAAGUCGAACGCUCCGCAAGGAGAGUGGCAGACGGGUGAGUAACACGUGGGAAUCUACCUAGUGGUACGGAAUAGCUCAGGGAAACUUGAGGUAAUACCGUAUAAGCCCUUACGGGGAAAGAUUUAUCGCCAUUAGAUGAGCCCGCGUCUGAUUAGCUAGUUGGUGAGGUAAUGGCUCACCAAGGCGACGAUCAGUAGCUGGUUUGAGAGAAUGACCAGCCACACUGGGACUGAGACACGGCCCAGACUCCUACGGGAGGCAGCAGUGGGGAAUCUUGGACAAUGGGCGCAAGCCUGAUCCAGCCAUGCCGCGUGAGUGACGAAGGCCUUAGGGUUGUAAACUGCUUUUGUACGGAACGAAAAGGCUCUUUCUAAUAAAGGGAGUUGAUGACGGUACCGUAAGAAUAAGCACCGGCUAACUACGUG